CCUAUUCCCUCUUUAUCUCUCACACUCCUUCUUCUUCUUCUUCUCGAAAUUGCUCUCCAGCCAAAUCAGUCGGCUCACUCUUCAAGUUUGUCUCACUUCGCUCACUCUUCUCAAACUAAAGAAACACAUUCGGUUUCGUCUGGCUAUGCUUUUACAGAUCACUUUGUUUACUUCACUUUACUUUCAAUUGAUCUCACAAACACAUUCGAUUCCGUCUGCCUGUGCUUUCGGGGUGUUUCUGGUCUUGACCUUUCUCUCUCGUCUAUGGCGGCUUCGCGAUAAAUAGAAUCUCCAAAGCAGUCAAAAGCAAGAAGCAACUAAGCAUUGUAACUGCACAAUAGCUGAUGUUGAGAAUACAUUAGCAAAGUUCACUUGGGCUAAAGAAGCACAUAAGAAAGUUGAAGUUAAAGGAAGAAGGGAAGCCAAUGCCAAAGAGUUUGGCGGAGAUCACUUCACUCACUCUUCUCAAACUAAAGGUUCGCUCACUCUUCUCAAACUAAAGGUAAAGGUUCGCUCACUUUUCUACUAUUUUCUGUCAUGUGUUGUUUCAAAUGUGGUGAAUUCACUCCAAUGUUUCGCUGAAUGUUUAUAUAAAUUUUUUGAAUUUUCUAUAAAUUGGUGUAUUCACUCCUUACUCUUUCAAAAAAAAAA